rnacentral:misc_RNA from 3 species
AACGCACCUUGCGCCCUUUGGUAUUCCGAAGGGCAUGCCUGUUUGAGUGUCAUUAAAUUCUCAACCUUGAAAGGCUUGUCUUUUCAAUGGCUUGGAUGUGAGGGUUUUGCUGGCUUCCUUCAGUGGAUGGUCUGCUCCCUUUAAAAGCAUUAGUGGGAUCCUUUGUGGACGGUCACUUGGUGUGAUAAUUAUCUACGCCGUUUGUACUGUGAAGCAAAACUUGUGGGAACCUGCUUAUAACCGUCUGUAAUGGACAAUUUUGAACCUUUGACCUCAAAUCAGGUAGGACUACCCGCUGAACUUAA